CUCAUAGAUUGUUUAACAGAUGAGCGAUUGUGCCGUUAGAUUGUUGUAACGUGUGCAACUUGUUUAUGUUGUAAAGUGCUCGCAAAAUUGAUGCGAACAUUUUAACUGAGUGAGUGUCUUUAAUUCCUCCUUGAUAGAAGAUAUAAUAAAGGAUAAUAAAAUCGUGGACAUGAAGCAGGUUGGAAAAUUAUUCAGGUGAAGUAAGGAGGUGAAAGGAAGAGUUAAUAACUGAUGACUCUAAGAAAAUGCCCAACGAUGAUGACAAAUGACUUGUUGUCAAGGUCAAUUUCAUGUCCGCCAAAGAGAGCUAGAGUUUGACUCUCAGGGUCCAUUGCGUCCAGCGUCACAUAUGUCAAGUACGGAUUACCACAUGUUCCCUCUGCUCGAGAGCACUCGGGUCCCGCUGCAGGACUUUAACAGAUGUAGGGCCAGGUUGUCCAGAGUUACAAUGAGGACACCUCCUUGCCUUUAUGGGUGUGGUAAUCAGGCGAAGCAAGCUGUAGUUCAGUUCUGUGUUUUUGGUCGUACUUGCUGAGGACCCUCAGAUAGUGGGGAGAGUAGCAGCUGUGUAGCUGCAAGAACACACUCAGUUCAGGGUCGUCGUUAAUUGGUUUUCAUUACCGUCAUCAAUGGAUGUGAGAUAAUAUUUGUCAUAGUUUUCCUUUUUGUUAUGAUACAUUUAGAAUAAUAAGCUAUAAUUGAUUUGGUCACAUGUUCUUAUCUAAAUAGGUUGUAUAUUAACGGAACAUGUCCUACAUAAUUCAUCAGCUGAACGACAAGUGUAAGCCAUCUUCGGCACCGUUCUAGAAGGUACGUUGUUCACUCUCUGUUCCUGAUAUAAGUCGACACCACCAUAACCACGGUACAGAAUACUGAAGGAACUAUGUCUCAGGUGAAUGUCUCCUUCGACUAUUUACGACUAAGUAUCUGUGAUAUAUCUGGAAAGUCCAGAGGAAGAGUUGUUCAUUCCCGUCAUGCCGAGCACACCUGUAGAACUGGAGUCACAGUAGGAAUAGGCGUUCCUGUGGCACUGCGAAGGGAUUAUGGAUUUGUAAUAAUUCCCGACCUCAGCACAAUGAAGACUAUUUCCUGGGAUGGAGGUGAACAGUACAAGGUGGC